AUUCAGUCACAUAUAAGAUGUACUGUCCUCUUCAUUACAAUCCGUUCUCUUAUAUCAAAAGGCAACAACAUCAAUAAUUUUGAAGGAUAUUUAUGCUCAUAUUUGUUUGGACACAGGGACACGAAAUUCCAAUAGUUCAUAGAGCUAUAAAGGUUCAUGAGUAUCAACAUAUUGGAGAAGUUUAUGUCCUUGCAAAAGGAGACAACAAUAGCUAUGGAGAUGACAUGUUUUUGUAUACUCAAGGCCAGAUGUGGUUGAAGCGGCAUCAUAUCACAUGGAGGGCAAUCUAAAGAAAUUUACCGUUCGUCAUAAUCAUAAAG